CGGGGUACUCGAGUGGCGAACGGGUGAGUAACACGUGGGUGAUCUGCCCUGCACUUCGGGAUAAGCCUGGGAAACUGGGUCUAAUACCGGAUAGGAGCCAUUUUUAGUGUGAUGGUUGGAAAGUUUUUCGGUGUAGGAUGAGCUCGCGGCCUAUCAGCUUGUUGGUGGGGUAAUGGCCUACCAAGGCGGCGACGGGUAGCCGGCCUGAGAGGGUGACCGGCCACAUUGGGACUGAGAUACGGCCCAG
rnacentral:rRNA from 1 species